CUUUGGAACAUUUUAUUAAACUCCCCAUGUUUAUGUUUCUCCAUGAAAUCUGGCUAGUAGUCUUAAUACUUAGACGACUGGACUAACUAGCACUAGCGAGUUGAUUUUAGAUGAAGUGCAGUAGCCGGUUGCAUUAGUUACCUUUCAAUUGAGUAGGGUUGCAGUGGAGAAGAGCUGGUCAGGUUUCACGUCGGAAAAGCACAUCUGUACAGCUUUAAGUAAAGUAGAUCGUAUCGUUGUCGGAUGUUAGUACGGGAUUGAUAACCCAAUAACAGUAUCGGUAUCUAUGCAUCCCUAAAUAUACUGUAACAACACAUCUGCAAGGACCUACUGAAUCAGUACAAAUUCAUACAGCGUAUAUUGUAUACUGUAUCUCCUGCCAAACAUUUCCCAAUGUCACAAAUCUAUUUGGCCACCUGAGUCACGUAUAUCUCAAUCUAUGGAAAUUACUGCGUUAAAAUAUCAGCCAAAACAGAACAAAAAAAGACUCCCCUGCCAAUUAACGUCGUAUAAUCCGGAUGAAUGAAUUCGAAGAAAUCUGUCACUAGAUGUCGUGUCAAACGUUGGGAAUCUGUGCACUCAUUUCCUCCUCGGCUUAUGGGCUAUCAGCAGCAUAUGCUAAAGGUUCCUGUGUGGGCUUGCCUGAGCCGCAGGGCAAAUAAAAAGGAAGGUUUAUUGGAUUACGAGAGGGAGCGAGAGAUGAGAUUGCCUUCCCUUUUACCUCGGCUGUACAGUCUCCCAUUCGAUCAAAUCUCAGUCAGGUGAUUUUUUUAAUAGCAAAAUACAGUGUGCGCAUCACAUUGUAUUAAUUUUGAGUAUUUAAUCAAAUUACGACAAUUAGACCUAUACUGGAUUAGUUUAUUCAGAUGUGAGGCCGAAGCUGAAAAUUUGGGAUUAAUUAAUAAGUUCAUAGAGCGUGACUAACAUAAUAAUGAUAAUACAUUUAUUAGACAUAACAUAAUAAACUAGCGUUUUAAAACGAGAUCUCAUUGUGACAGUCUUUACCUUUAUCCUAUCUAUCGUUUUACUCUAAAUCAUUAAAUUUAGCAAAUUGUCUAUGAAAUCGAUCAAAUCUCAUGACAUUCAAUUAAAUGCCAUGAACAGGAGUCCAGGUAUAAAAUAUGGACAAGGUCUAUUUUUUCCACAUUUUCCUACACAUUUACAUUAUACGUUUCUAUAAGUUUCUAUACAUUUCCAAACUUUUCCAGAUUCAGAUAUGUACAUUCACAGAAAGAAACAUUCAGUAAACCUGUCUUCUCCCAAGUUAUUCAGGGCUAAUUUGUUUCUCAGGUACAUAGCUAAGACGUUACCAGUGGGGUAGUGUUCUACGUGUAUACCCUUCAUGACACCUGACAAACAAAAAUAAACAUAAAAGCUUAUUCAAAUAUGUGACGCUGACUUGCGAGCUGAGUAAAGUGGCAGAUUUUUCUCGACAAAAAGGACUAACUUCUGGUAUGUGAGUCAUAUAAUGGUAAGUCAAGUCUAGAUGGUGAAAUGAACACUUCCAAAGGAAGAUCCUGUGCUUAAUGAAACCUCAGUGCCUGUUGCCACCAAGUCUACCUAGCCAGUUCAGGUAUUUCAUACGUUUUCUUCCCCUAGUCAGUUCAGGUACUUCAUAUGUUUUCUACCCAUAGCCAGUUCAGGUAUAUCAUAUGUUUUCUACCCCUAGUCAGUUCAGGUACUUCAUAUGUUUUCUACCCCUAGCCAGUUCAGGUAUAUCAUACGUUUUCUACCCCUAGCCAGUUCAGGUAUUUCAUACGUUUUCUACCCCUUGCCAGUUCAGGUAUUUCAUACGUUUUCUACCCCUAGCCAGUUCAGGUAUUUCAUGUGUUCCAGCUCAAGCACACCUGGUGCAACUAAUGAACCCUUGAAUAAUUGUAUCAGUUGUGCUUGAGACAACACCUGUUUUGCAUAUUUGUGCUGUUGUGAGGGAUUCUAUUCAGGGGGUUGAAUAAUUCUGAGACUGGAGAAUUCAUUAUACGUUGCAUUUUCAGUUGAAUUUGUGGAAACCACUUGAAGCGUUGGUUGUGUUGAACUAUUUCAAUCGCUUUUGUUUGAUUUGUUCAUCGCAAGCCGCUGAAAGUUUGUACAAUUUGACAAUAAACCUGAUUUGCAAUGGGGGUCGAAUCAUUUCGAUUGCAACUGUAGGUGUACAUGUAGCCCUGCGAACAUUUCCCCGAAAUAACGCAUUAUUGAAAUAUCAUUUUAUAUUUUUAUUUUACAAUUAUACUCAAGCAAUUUACAAGUGGUGGCAUGGUGGCACAGCAGGCAGUAUUGAUGGCUCAUAUCUCUGGUGUCCUGUGUGGGGAUCCGCAUGAUUUCCCAGUGUCCAUAUGGGUUUUCUUUGGGUUUUCUGGUUUCCUCCUGCCUCCCUAAACUAAAAAAUGUCCGUAGUUGUGAACAUGUGUGGAUGGAGGUGUGAAUUAAGUGUUCAUGGUGCCAUGUGAUAGAUUAUUGUCCCAGACAUACUAGGUCUCCAGUGAAGGUCACCAGUGUUCUUGGGAAAGGCUUCAGAUCCACUGUUACCCUGACCAGGAUAAAUCACUUGCAAGAAGUUGCAAACUAUAAAUCUCCUUCUUUCAGGAUUACACUCUUGAGGUGCGAGUGGAAAUAAACUAUAAUAAACCCGUGGCAUCGAUUCAUCUCUCCAUGUCUAAACUCCACUGACAUCAUCACAUUUUCUAGCAUUUCUCAUGGGGCAACAUCUCAAGUAUCUCUUCAAAUCUGCUAACAUUCUUUGGUCCGUUUUACUUUUCCGUUUUACUGCCGUCCAUUUGCUUGCACACCUAAAUCUGGGAUAAAAAGGCAGGACCACAGUUCGGCUGCGUUUAAUAAUGGAAACAUGCUCCAAACUUGGCUAAAAUAAGCUUUCCUAAAGACCUUGGAGCUUGUGGAUCACAAGUCUGCCCUCCAGCCACGAGAUCAUAGGCCCUCAGUGCAGCAGGAAACAUAAACCUGGGCUUCUUAUACUGCCUACUAUAACCACAGGCUCUAUUUAAACGAUGCCAGCAAAAGUAAAAUCAGAUGUAAGUCAGGUGUUGGAGCCUUGGCUGCCUGUCAUCCAGCUGUGCUACAGCAUCAGAAGCUGAACUCCAUGACACUGUUGUCCAUCUAUACAUUAUGUUUUCAACCAGAAUUCAGACCACACACAAAAUAUACCGUAUAGGAGAGAUAUUUUUGGACUUCAUACACAUAAUGUCAGAGAAAAACCUACAACCACUAACCACAGCAUUUACUCUAACUUUAAUUAUUUAGAAACGGGUAUACAAAUCGAACUCCAUACGUCGGAACUUACAAUCACCAUGGAGACCAUCUCAGGAGUUGUUCUAUAUAAUUUGCUUGAUCUUUUUACACUAUGUGAGCGUUGUCAGUGGAGGAUGACGUGGCUAUAUUUUUUCCAGCUUUAAAGACGGAUACUGCCAGACACUGAUAAUGAUGACCAUGUGCUUGGUUACAGAGCAAGUAGGAGGUUGAUGGACGCCUGGGGGUUGUUUACCUCCUUUAAUUUCUUUGCAAUCCGUGUGGAAUUUGGUUAUUGGUACAGCAUAAUCGGGCAAUAAAUACGCACCGCUUUUGUUUUAAAUGAUUGUCUGUAAUUAAUAUACUUAUCUCACCUCAAAAUGCUAGCGUGGCAUCGCUCUGGACUCAUGGAAAAUGCUCAAAGGUCUGGAAAUAAUGCUGGAGCUUGUCAAGACCAUAAAGUGUGAGAAACGAAUAAGCUCUAAUUAAGCAGCUUUUCAAGACCCGAAACAGUCAUGUGUAGUAUAUUUUAUGCUAAUUGUACUAAUUAUAAUGCUAUUGUAUUGAAUAUAUGCUGUAUGCUAUAUACAGUACAUACUGUGCCUACACACGGUAUGCUUCAUAUUGCUAGCACGUAUUAUACUGUCUAAAUGGGCGUAAUGUGCAAUAAAAUGAUCAACACGAUUAUUACGCAAUUAAUAUUGAAAUCACAUUCACUGAGUGUAUUGUUUAAAUGUUAAACGCACAACUCGGAUUAUAAGGAAAUAGGCCUCUGUGUGUCACAGUACAGAAUUGUAGCCUACGUAUUGUAUGUAGCUAUUAACCCACCUGUUAUUUUGCCUAAUGAACUAAUCACAGCGUUUAUGUAAGGUCCUGUGGGAUCCCAGACCCAGUGUAUUGGAGGUCCUGUGACUAAAACCUGCUGAAGGGUUGACAUGCUUUGCUUUCGGAGAUGCUUUUCAGCUCACCACAGUUGUAGAGUUGGUUAUUUGAAUGAAUGCAGCCUUCCUGCGAGCUCGAACCAGUCUGGCUAUUCUCCUCUGACCUCUCUCAUCAACAGUCAUGGAAAUAUGACCGAAACCUGCUCAAUGUUUGACAUCUUUUGUGUUCUGAGAUGCUUUUCUGCUCCCUACGGUUGCAAAGAGUUGUUCUUUGAGUUAUUGUACGUAAACCUUGCUGGGAGCUUGAACCUGGGAGUCUUGCCAUUCUCCUCUGACUUCUCUCAUCAACAAGGCAUUAGCACUCGCAGAAAUGCUGCUCAGUUACAGAUAAAAUUAUUAGGACAUUUGCUUUGUUUUCAUGUAUGUUUAUUGGUUUGUUAACGGGACCGGCUGUAAAAUCCUGAAACGCAAACACAAAGCAUGAUUUAAGUGUUUUAACAUGGAUGUGGAAUGGUGGAAAAAGAUCUGUUGCUAUCUGUGUUCUAAUCUCUUUUAGUGCUGCAGGAUACGACACACACACACACACACACACACACUAAAGAUGCAGAGUUCAAAACACAGCUGCUAAUGGAGAUGAUGUCAAGGCUGCAACCAUGUGAGUCGUGGUUUUAUUAAAUCCUCUUCAGACACUUCAGCUGCCUCCUCCUCGGUGUGGACACCUCGUCCCCGCACAACAGUGGAAAUACACAGCAGGGGAUUUAAUAAGGACCCAAACAGAGAUUAUGUAAUUGACCGAAUUAUUAUGCUUACACAUGAAGUUUUUAUCUCAGGGCUCAUUGUGUUUGUCUGUGAGGUUUUAGAUAAUGAUGCAGAGUCGAG
ensembl:lncRNA